GUAGUUGAAGAAUACGAAGACACCAAGACGCAUGACUUUUUACCUGUACAUUAAUAAUGUUUUUUAAAGUUAUUGUUAAUUUUAUUUAUUAAUUUUUUUUGUGAGUUUAAGUUUUUUUUGUGCAAGUUAAAGUGAAGUUACUUUUUUUUGGAUAUUUUUGGAAAUACAAAAGGACUGCUUUAUUAUUUCAUAAUCAUAUUAAAGGUUUCAAUUAAACCAAGAAUGAGAAAAUGAGAGACAUAGAACGGGACAUUUGGGGAGUUGAAACCGGAACUUUCUUCAAUUACGCGGAAAGUGAAAGGUUUCCUAGCGUUCACAGUGUAUCUAUACAACGAUUAGAUGCAUUAUUAUACACUCAAGCAGGUAGAAAAUUUCAUGAUUCCAACUUUAUUAAGUAUUCGGUGAGUAAAUUUUGAAUUGAUUUUAUUUAGAUUUUAAUCGAGAUUUUUAUAUGUUCCUGUCAAAACCUAUUUUAAGGUGUUGUGUAACCAAUUCACGCAAACGCAAUAAAUUUCCUGUAAUUUAACAGAACGUAGUUCAGCUCCCUGUAAUUUUAUAGGUCGAUAAACGUUAAAGUUUCGGCUGUGUUAAUUAGGUGUUCCGUACGAAUUACCUUCUCUAUACACUUAAAACUAAGUAAACUAACUAAAACUUAAGAUCUAUUAAGAACUUAACCUGAACUAGUACUUUAAAGGUAAUAAAUAAUCUAUGUUUUUCACAAGAAAAUAUGAACGCG